CGUAUAUUAAAGUUGUUGCAGUUAAAAAGCUCGUAGUUGGAUUUGUGGCGUGUGGNGUGUUCCAGGCACUUGUUGUCUGAGUGACUCGCUGCUGCCAUCCUUGGGUGGAACCUGCGUGGCAUUAGGUUGUCGUGCAGGGGGUGCCCAUCUUUUACUGUGAAAAAAUUAGAGUGUUCAAAGCAGGCUUACGCCAUUGAAUAUAUUAGCAUGGAAUAAUGAGAUAGGACAUUUUUGCUAUUUUGUUGGUUUGUGCAAAGAGGUAAUGAUUAAUAGGGACAGUUGGGGG
rnacentral:rRNA from 1 species